rnacentral:lncRNA from 1 species
AUACGUUACGAGUGCUUCUGUGAUAUUAACUGAGAAGAAAGACAGGCUAACAUGUUCUGAUUACGCUGGACGCAUUUUUAUCUAUUUGUGAUUUAAGCCAGUUAUUCUAUUCAACUUAAUUUUAGUCAAUUUAUAAUGCAAACUACCCGUGAGCGUCUUUGUUACUCUCUGUAAUUGGAUACCUUCCUUUAGUUCAAAUUGUAAAGACUUGUUCUUCAGCCAAGUUUUACAUAUCGAUAUAUUGAUCAAAACUAGAUAGAAAUUAUUUAACAACUUCAUUUUAUCUCAAGGAAUUAUAUCAUUGUAUGACUGGAAUCUAUUGGAAAUGUACUAUUACAAAAUAAAGAUUUCCUUCUUUGGUCUUACCUUUUUCAAAAUAUGAAACACUACAUAAUUGUACAAAAGAAUAAGAAGAAUCUGAAGGAACGGUGAUAUUGUAUUGAAAUGGAGCAUCAGCUUGAUUUAGAGAA